UCUCUCCACCACAUCCUGCAGCUUGCCCCAGACAGAGGCCACAGUGGGCCUUUACAAGCACUGCAACAGCUGUAGGAGUGGAUAAAGCCAUGAAGAGGAAGAAAUGUCUGAGGAACAAUUGAAUUAAGACUUUUUAGUUGGGUUCAAGGGCUUUGAUUUGAUUAGAUUAGCCACACCUUUGCAGAAAAAUCAGCUGUUAAUCAUUUACUGCAGCCCAAAGAGGCAACUUCCAGGCUACCUCUACAAGUCUCCAGGUCCAGCAAGGGGACCCUCACCACAGGCCAAGAUCUCUUGGAGGGGUGAAGAGGAGACAACAGAGGAAGAACCUACUGCAAACCACAACAGCUUCAGCAGGGUGGAAGCCAGCAUGUCACUAGAGCAAGAGGCACCCUCAGUUCUGGAAGACCUAACGAAACUCAUUUCAACAAGUGACUGGGCUCUUGGAGGACUGGUGGUGAUUGGCAUCUUCUGUCUUGUUUUUAUUGCUCUCAUUUUAUUUGCUGCAAUCUUUGGGUGCUGCACAUCUCCAAGGUACAAACGGGGCGGCUCAUAAACCGCAAAGCAGGGACACAAGAGUUGGUACAGCUGAGCAAGAACCAGCCUGGGUACAGCUUGAUGGUGUUGUUCACAGAAAACUUUCAUCUCGCUCCCUGGCUGGUUAUUUCUCUCCUGCAUCAAGAGCAAUGUCCCAAUGCCAGCAAGUUGUUCUGCAGGCUACAGCAAGCUCAAUAAAUGAAGCUGUCUGGAUUCAAGAACUGCAACAUUCACCAAAUACCAACGUAAACUCGUCUCUGAUUUUCAUCUUUCAAGCAAAACCACCAGCUAGAGGUGGCAAAUGGUCAGCCACCACCUAAAGCUGAUAAAGAUAUGUUCUACUUCUGCA